CAAACGACUCUCGGSAACGGAUAUCUCGGCUCAUGCAUCGAUGAAGAACGUAGCAAAAUGCGAUACUUGGUGUGAAUUGCAGAAUCCCGUGAACCAUCGAGUUUUUGAACGCAAGUUGCGCCCGAUGCCUUUUGGCCGAGGGCACGUCUGCCUGGGCGUCACGC
rnacentral:rRNA from 1 species